AUGGUAAAAAACACACUUUUCGUAGGAUCCCCACUCUAGAUAUGAAACACGUUUUCUUCACCUCCAUGGCCACCUCUUCUCCACCACAACCACCAUCCGAAAAAUGUUAACUAACCGGAAACCGUCACUAUCAUUAUCACCGUCGAAGAAACCGCAUCUAGAUCUGUAAUCGAGUUACCAUCCCUUGUUUAAGCAACUGCCACCGCCAUUGAACAACACCGGAACACCGGCGAACAAUUUCCGAUGUGGUGUACGACGGAGUUCCAC
rnacentral:lncRNA from 1 species